rnacentral:rRNA from 1 species
UGAGGAAUUUUGCGCAAUGGGGGAAACCCUGACGCAGCGACGCCGCGUGAGUGAUGAAGGCUUUCGAGUCGUAAAGCUCUGUCAAUAGGGAAGAAAUGUCACAUGGAUAAUACCCAUGAGAUUUGACGGUACCUAUAAAGGAAGCACCGGCUAACUCCGUGCCAGCAGCCGCGGUAAUACGUAGGCACCGAGCGUUGUUCGGAGUUACUGGGCGUAAAGAGUGCGUAGGCGGUUCCGUAAGUUUGGUGUGAAAUCUCCCGGCUCAACUGGGAGGCUGCAUCGAAUACUGCAGAGCUAGAGCAUGGGAGAGGAAAGCGGAAUUCCUGGUGUAGCGGUGAAAUGCGUAGAUAUCAGGAGGAACACCGGCGGUGUAGACGGCUUUCUGGACCAUUGCUGACGCUGAGGCACGAAAGCGUGGGGAGCAGACAGGAUUAGAUACCCUGGUAGUCCACGCCCUAAACGAUGCAUACUUGGUGUGGGCACUUCAGUGUGUCCGUGCCGGAGCUAACGCGUUAAGUAUGCCGCCUGGGGAGUACGGUCGCAAGGCUG